rnacentral:rRNA from 1 species
CGAAUUCGCCCUUCCUACGGGAGGCAGCAGUGGGGAAUAUUGCACAAUGGGCGCAAGCCUGAUGCAGCGACGCCGCGUGAGGGAUGACGGCCUUCGGGUUGUAAACCUCUUUCAGUAGGGAAGAAGCGUAAGUGACGGUACCUGCAGAAGAAGCGCCGGCUAACUACGUGCCAGCAGCCGCGGUAAUAAGGGCGAAUUCGGAGC